rnacentral:rRNA from 1 species
CCAAUAGCGUAUAUUAAAGUUGUUGCAGUUAAAAAGCUCGUAGUUGAAUUUCGGGAUCAAUAUGUUGGUCGUGCCUUGGUACGUACUAAUUUAUUGGUUUCUUCCUUCUGACGAACCAUGAUGUCAUUAAUUUGGUGUCUUGGGGAAUCAGGACUGUUACUUUGAAAAAAUUAGAGUGUUUAAAGCAGGCUCACGCUCGAAUACAUUAGCAUGGAAUAAUGAAAUAGGACGUUUGAUUCUAUUUUGUUGGUUUCUAGGAUCGACGUAAUGAUUAAUAGGGAUAGUUGGGGGCAUUAGUAUUCAAUUGUCAGAGGUGAAAUUCUUGGAUUUAUUGAAGACUAACUACUGCGAAAGCAUUUGCCAAGGAUGUUUUCAUUAAUCAAGAACGAAAGUUAGGGGAUCGAAGACGAUCAGAUACCGUCGUAGUCUUAACCAUAAACUAUGCCGACUAGGGAUCGGAUGAUGUUAAUUUUUUAAUGACUCAUUCGGCGCCUUACG